GCCAAGUCCUAAUUAAAACCAAAACUCAAGUUAUGAACAAUUGUAUCUUGUUGUGACCGGUAGCUUGAGAAUGUAUCGCCACCAACAUGAAAACGAUACCGUUCUUCCCGUUUUCACUCAACCUCUUUCUCCCAACGGCGGUGAAUCAUGUUCCCAUCUUCCGGAAGAACUCAUCAUCGAGAUCCUCCUCAGACUUCCGGUAAAAUCCCUCCUUCAAUUCAAAUGCAUUUGUAAAUUCUGGAAAACCCUAAUUUCAAAUCCUCAAUUUAUUAAGCGACAUCUACUAAUCUCGAACGCCAAACCAAGCUUAACCCACCAACGACUGUUCUUUUCUUUCAUGACUGAUCCCCGCCAACUCUUAUCUUACCCUUUGAAGCCAUUGUUCCAAAACCUAUUACCUCCUGUUAGCUCCAGCGGGACGAUGAAAUAUUGGAUUAUAGGUUCAUGCAAUGGUUUGUUGUGUUUGUAUGGUCAAUCUCGACAUUGUUUCAAACUGCACAACCCUUCUAUCAUGUUCAAAUCCAAAAAGUCGCCAAGUGCUGCUUCACUUGAUUGGAUUUCUAACCAAUAUGGCUUUGGUUAUGAUCAAGUUAAUGACAAGUACAAAGUACUACUUGUUGUGCGAAAUAUGAAUGAUCCAACUCAAACUUUAACCAAAGUUUAUACCUUUGGUGAUGAUUCAUGGAAAACCAUUCAGAAUUUCCACCUUACACCCAUUAGGCCGUCAGGGAAAUUUGUGAGUGGCACUCUUAAUUGGAUUGUUAAAAAAAGAGGUGCAGGUUCUAAUCAAAGUAUGAUACUUUCCUUUGAUCUCGAGAAGGAGACUUAUAAUGAAGUUUUGCUGCCUCAAACUGACGGUGACAAAGUGUAUGGACAUACUCUCUAUGUCUUGAAUAAUUGCCUUGGUGUGUGUUAUGAGACUAACCAAACUCAUUGGGUUGCGUGGUUGAUGAAAGAGUAUGGAGUUUUUGAUUCAUGGACUAAAUUCAUAACCAUCCCUCUUGACAAGUUUAACAAACCACAAUGUUUUCUUAUUCCUCUGUUCAUAUCAGAAAAUUGUGUUGUUCUUCUAGUGAACAAAUAUAAUUCCCACUUUAUCCUAUUUAACUUAAAUAGUGGUGAGUUGGACUAUUCAUGGGAUUAUUUUAUAAAAAGUGUCUUCAAUUUUCGACGCAAUCUGCAUAUCUGUAGUGAGAGUCUUGUAUCCCUAUGAUGGGUGCAGUGGGCAUGAAGACAUAUGCCAUUACGACAAAUCGCAGGAAAGAUCUGGAUGUUCUGAGUUACUAUAGUAAAAUAGGUGGCAUGAAGCAUUAGAGAAGCUUCACAAAACAAAGAAUAUUGUGAAGAUCAGCUAUGGAAUUUUCAUGACUGUUCUGUUGGUUAAACUAAGCCACAGAAGUUGUAGAGCAUAAUGAAAAAUUGAAAAUAGUGUAGUUAGUUUUGCGAUGUUAAUUACAAUAUGGACCAAGCAAUGAAUUUGCAUUAGCUGUUGUGUUUGGAGUUGUGAUAUCUUGGAAGGGGUCUUCAUAAACUCGUGUACAGGAUGAUACAAAAGAAGUUGAUACUCUUUGAAAAUAUAAACUAUUCUAAUAUUUGCAAUUGCUGCGGUAACCAUGUUACCAUGUAUGUAUCGGAGUAGCCUUUAAGUGAGAUACCUAAGUUGUAAUGAAUGAGGGAAAUGUCUGUUUCUGUAUUUCCUCCAUAAUUAUUUUCUAGCUUACUUCAAGGACAUGAAAUAUUGAUACUUUUGUAAAACACUCCAUUAAAUCUCAUUUAAUUCUAACCCAUUAUAAGAAAAUGCUGCACUCCAAGACAAACCACAAAAACAGUUUCCUACUAGAAGAAAAAAAUGCAGAAAAUUAAUUAACCGAGAAGCUCAUUGGGUUUGAUACCUAGUCACAUUAAAGACACUAAGGAUUCAAAGCUCAUUGCGGUUGAUGCCUAGUCACAUUGAAGACACUUCCUAAUUUAUCCUAUAUAACUUAAAUAGUGGUUUUGGUUUUUAGUUUUAAAAAACUACUACUAUUUAGUAAAUCAAACAACCUUCUAUUGU